rnacentral:misc_RNA from 1 species
GAAAUGCGAUACGUAGUGCGAAUUGCAGAAUUCAGUGAAUCAUCAAAUCUUUGAACGCAAAUUGCGCCCUUGGGAUAGCCCUGGGGGCACGCUUCUUUGAGCAUCGGUUCACCCCACCCUCGGCGGCGUUGCCAAACUUGUUUGGUAUGCGCGCAGCCGGUUAAUGGGAGUCACGAUCAGUAGUGUGCAACUUUUUGUGAUCGUGUCUCCUCAAGUUCAGAGCGUCUGUUACACCAUGGCUCACACCAAAUCGGCCCCGCUUCGCUGGGACGUUACAAUGGGUACACACCCCAAAUUUGUUCGUCAUACCAAACCAGUCGUAG